rnacentral:rRNA from 1 species
UACAGAGGGUGCAAGCGUUGUUCGGAAUCAUUGGGCGUAAAGGGCGUGUAGGCGGUUUGUUAAGUCAUGUGUGAAAUCCCUCGGCUCAACCGGGGAACGACGCAUGAAACUGGCAAGCUAGAGUACCAAAGAGGGUGGUGGAAUUCCCGGUGUAGCGGUGAAAUGCGCAGAUAUCAGGAAGAACACCGAUGGCGAAGGCAGUUCUCUGGGCCGUAACUGACGCUGAGGAGCGAAAGCGUGGGGAGCGAACAGG